rnacentral:rRNA from 1 species
UACGUAGGGUGCGAGCGUUAAUCGGAAUUACUGGGCGCAAAGUGUGCGCAGGCGGCGUCGCAAGUCGAGUGUGAAAGCCCCGGGCUUAACUUGGGAAUUGCGCUCGAAACUACGAUGCUGGAGUAUGGCAGAGGAAGGUGGAAUUCCACGUGUAGCGGUGAAAUGCGUAGAGAUGUGGAGGAACACCGAUGGCGAAGGCAGCCUUCUGGGCCAAUACUGACGCUCAUGCACGAAAGCGUGGGGAGCAAACAGG